GAUGAAGAACGUAGUGAAAUGCGAUACGUAGUGUGAAUUGCAGAAUUCAGUGAAUCAUCGAAUCUUUGAACGCACAUUGCACCUCUCGGUAUUCCGGGAGGUAUGCCUGUUCGAGCGUCAUUUGUACCCUCAAGCUCUGCUUGGUGUUGGGUGUUUGUUCCGCCUCUGUGUGUGAACUCGCCUCAAAACAAUUGGCAGCCGGCGUACUUGUUUCGGAGCGCAGCACAUUUUGCGAUCCAGAUCAACGUACAGCGGCAUCCAAGAAGCCUUAUUUAACGCUCUUGACCUCGGAUCAGGUAGGGAUACCCGCUGAACUUAAGCAUAUCAUAAGCGGAGGA
rnacentral:misc_RNA from 1 species